rnacentral:misc_RNA from 1 species
UCAUUAUUGUAAUGAAAUCUAUAGCAAGAGGCUGUUGCUGGCCCACUGGCAAUGUGCACGCCUUUUGUCUAUUUCUUUUCCCCUCCCCUGUGCACUACUUGUAGACAGGCCAAGCCUGUCUAUGAUUUAUUAUAUCAUAUAUAACCUUGUGAAUGAAUGAAUGAAUGUAUAAUAUUAUACAACUUUCAACAAUGGAUCUCUUGGCUCUCGCAUCGAUGAAGAACGCAGCGAAAUGCGAUAAGUAAUGUGAAUUGCAGAAUUCAGUGAAUCAUCGAAUCUUUGAACGCAUCUUGCGCUCUUUGGUAUUCCGAGGAGCAUGCCUGUUUGAGUGUCAUUAAUCUCUCAAAAACACUUGGUUUUUGGGUAUUGGGAGUCAUUUGCUGGCAGCUGUCGAAGCUCAGCUCUCCUUAAAUUCCUUUGAGGACGAAAUGUUGGUGUAUGAUAAUUGUCUAUGCCAAACAAGUAGUAGUCCCUUGUUAUGUUUAAUGAUUGACCUCAAAUCAAGCAAGACUACCCGCU